rnacentral:tRNA from 1 species
GGCCGACUAGCUCAGUUGGUUAGAGCGUCGUGCUAAUAUCAGAGUCAAUGCUUGCUCGAAUUAACGCGAAGGUCUUGGGUUCGAUCCCCACGUUGGCCA